rnacentral:rRNA from 1 species
AUUGAACGCUGGCGGAAUGCUUUACACAUGCAAGUCGAACGGCAGCACGGACUUCGGUCUGGUGGCGAGUGGCGAACGGGUGAGUAAUACAUCGGAACGUGCCCAAUCGUGGGGGAUAACGUAGCGAAAGCUACGCUAAUACCGCAUACGAUCUAAGGAUGAAAGCGGGGGAUCGCAAGACCUCGCGCGGAUGGAGCGGCCGAUGGCAGAUUAGGUAGUUGGUAGGGUAAAGGCCUACCAAGCCGACGAUCUGUAGCUGGUCUGAGAGGAUGAUCAGCCACACUGGGACUGAGACACGGCCCAGACUCCUACGGGAGUCAGCAGUGGGGAAUUUUGGACAAUGGACGCAAGUCUGAUCCAGCCAUUCCGCGUGCAGGAUGAAGGCCCUCGGGUUGUAAACUGCUUUUGUACAGAACGAAAAGGCUCUGGUUAAUACCUGGGGCUCAUGACGGUACUGUAGGAAUAAGCACCGGCUAACUACGUGCCAGCCGCCGCCGUAA